GGGGUCUGUACUUACUGUAGCCGUGAGAUCCAAGACUGUCCGAAGAUUACCCUUGAACAUCUUGGCAUCUGCUGCCAUGAGUAUUGUUUUAAGUGUGAGAUUUGCAAUAAACCAAUGGGAGAUCUCCUAGAUCAGAUCUUUAUUCACCGUGACACCAUCCACUGUGGGAAAUGCUAUGAGAAGCUCUUCUAGGCUGAACAGAAGCUGAUGAUCCCCAGCUGUCUUUGGCUGUCCAGUUGACCCAAAUUGUUGGCUCCUCCUCCCUUAUAUCCUCCAUGGUUCCACUGU
rnacentral:lncRNA from 1 species